UAUCAGCCUUUUGGGCAUGAUUCUGUGGAGCGUGAGGAGUUAAACGCCUUCAUGCCUGCAUAUUCGUGUACUUUGAGUGUACUUGCCUGUGUGGUUAGUUAACAUCAAUUUUGGUUAUCAUAAAAUGGUUGGAGGAAUGUAGCUUCGAUUUCGAUUGAAGUGUUAUAGCCUUCGGCAGAUGUGAUGAUCGGGAUUGAGGAUUGCAACGGAUACCCUUCGGGGCUACCUGUCUGGUCUCUGAUCGUUGCUCUGGUGCCGAAAGCGUGCUUACGGUUAUCAAAGUCGAUGGUCAAUAGGUUAGAACGGGUUAAAUUCGUUAAGGAUGUUGACGUA
rnacentral:rRNA from 1 species